ACAGAGCAAUGUUUAACUGGUUAAAGCCAUAUCCAGUGUUUGCUCAACAGCCGGAGGCAGGCUCAUGGAGACCAACAACCAAUCAGAAUGUUACAAAGGCUAGAUUUACAACUACAGACUUAGAUUAGGAGGAUUAAAAUCCAAACAAAGACAAAAACCUUCCUGGGUCACCAUCUCUGAUCAUCAGAGAGAAGCAGAGUCCUUCUGUGUCUCUGCUGUGAUUCAUGAAAAAGUCAUUUGGGGAAACUGAAGGCCUGAGGUUGAACAGCAGGGGGCGCUGUUGUUCAGUGUUAAGGUAUUUGCUGGAUGGAGAAAACAUGGGGCAGUGGUGAACCUUCCCAGGAAUGGCCGGCCUAGCAAAGUUACUCCAAGAGCACAUUGACAACCCAUCAAGGAAGUCACAAAGAACCCAGAACAACAUCUAAAGCACAGUAGGCCUCACUGUCUGAGUUAAGGUCAGAGGUCAUGAAUCAACAAUGCUUCGGGACCAAGACGACUUGCUGGAAUGGCCUAAUCAAAGCCCACACUAAAGUCUGAAUGACUUUAAACAGGCUGUUUAUGCAGAAAAACCCUAUUUAUGGCACAAGCAGCUAUCAGAUUAAUAAAAUAAAUCAUAAUUUCAAGGCUUAAAUCUGUGAGGGGGGCAAAUACUUUUCCUCAGCAUUGCAAAAGGAAAGUCUCGCAG